rnacentral:rRNA from 1 species
ACUCCUGCGGGAGGCAGCAGUGGGGAAUAUUGGACAAUGGGCGCAAGCCUGAUCCAGCCAUGCCGCGUGAGUGAUGAAGGCCCUAGGGUUGUAAAGCUCUUUCACCGGAGAAGAUAAUGACGGUAUCCGGAGAAGAAGCCCCGGCUAACUUCGUGCCAGCAGCCGCGGUAAUACGAAGGGGGCUAGCGUUGUUCGGAAUUACUGGGCGUAAAGCGCACGUAGGCGGAUCGAUCAGUCAGGGGUGAAAUCCCAGGGCUCAACCCUGGAACUGCCUUUGAUACUGUCGAUCUGGAGUAUGGAAGAGGUGAGUGGAAUUCCGAGUGUAGAGGUGAAAUUCGUAGAUAUUCGGAGGAACACCAGUGGCGAAGGCGGCUCACUGGUCCAUUACUGACGCUGAGGUGCGAAAGCGUGGGGAGCAAACAGGAUUAGAUACCCCUGUAGUCC